CGCAGCAAUUGUACUAUGUUAGAAAGAGAUGGCAUGAUUUUGCUCAUCGCCAUCUUGGAAGUGACGACGUGGCUAGUGCCAUGCGGACACAGGAGCGCCACGGUUGUGCACAACGUUCAAGAUGCCUCGAAACUACCAACGUAAAACGGUAACAAAAUAUAACGUGGAAGAUCUAAAAAGGGCCAUUGAAGAUGUUAAGAGCAAAAAGUUAACCUUAGGCAAAACGUCUACUGACAACUUUGUCUUGACAAUGAGAAUAUAAAGAAAAGAAGAACACCAAAGAGCGCCAAAGAAAAUAUAGAGUAUUUUUGCAUUUUUUGUCAUGAAAAAUACGGAGAUAGCCCACAUGGUGAAGAUUGGAUCCAGUGCUAUGUUUACAAAAAUUGGGCACACGAAAAAUGUACAGACGGACAAUCAUCUUCUUAUGGCUAUCGUUGUGAUCUUUGCCGCACAAACUGAUUUAAAAUUAAGGUUAAAUUGUGACUAAUCUGUCGUAUGUGAUCUCAUUUUUAGGCUAGUCUGGGUCAAUGGCGAACGAUCGCAAUUGCCCCACCAGGUGUUCGUGAUUGCCCGACCAGAGUCGGGUAAACACGAACACUAAAUGUUUUGUUUUUGUUUGAAAAGUUGAUUUUAUCAAGAGAAAUUAAUAAUGUUCAUUGUAAUAGUGUAACGUAUAAUAAUGUAACUUUCAGAAUAACUGAUUAAAUGUAACCUAUAUAUCGUA